UACGGGGGGUGCAAGCGUUAUCCGGAUUUACUGGGUGUAAAGCGCGUGCAGGCGGUGGUGUAAGUCGUGUGUGAAAGCGCCCAGGCUCAACCGGGCGAGGACGGACGAAACUGCAUCACUAGAGGCAGGUAGAGGCGUGCGGAAUUCCGGGUGUAGUGGUGAAAUGCGUAGAUAUCCGGAGGAACACCAGUGGCGAAGGCGGCGCGCUGGACCUGACCUGACGCUAAGAC
rnacentral:rRNA from 1 species